rnacentral:pre_miRNA from 1 species
AUAUUACUGGGAGUUCCUUUCAAACACUUUAUGGAUCAACUUUCCGAGUGCUCACGUGACGUGUUUGGGGGAACUCUCGGUGUAAC